AACGAGGUAGCAAUACCUAGUGGCAGACGGGUGAGUAACACGUAGUCAACCUUCCUUUUAGUGGGGGAUAACUAGCCGAAAGGUUAGCUAAUACCGCAUACGAUCGUCGAGCGGCAUCGCUUGACGCUGAAAGCAGCAAUGCGCUAAGAGACGGGACUGCGUCCCAUUAGUUAGUUGGUGGGGUAACGGCCUACCAAGACUCCGAUGGGUAGCUGGCUUGAGAGAGCGACCGGCCACACUGGGACUGAGACACGGCCCAGACUCCUACGGGAGGCAGCAGUGGGGAAUAUUGCGCAAUGGGCGAAAGCCUGACGCAGCGACGCCGCGUGGGGGAUGAAGGCCUUCGGG
rnacentral:rRNA from 1 species